GCCCCUAUCGUUUAGUGGGUUAGGACAUCUCUUUUUCAAGGAGAAAGUGAGGAUUCAACUUCCUCUAGGGGUU
rnacentral:tRNA from 1 species